GAUGGCCGUUUAUCAGUGCGCUAACACAAUCAAUAUAGAGAAACCCCGAGGACGUGAUAAGAAUAUUUAAAGAGUGAAAAAGACAUCAAACAGUUUAAUGGUAAACAGUGAUUAAAGGUUAUGAAUCCAGAUUGUUUCCCGUGCACCACGUGCCACAUACUUAGAAGAAGAUGAAGAAUUAUACAUAUUUUGUUUCUGUCGAAAGGGAAGCAUUUGCGGUUUCUGGAGGAAGCACCACGUGGAGAUGAUUGUAUGAAAAAUCCAUUAGAACUUGUGUGAUGUAGAUAUUGGCAACAAUAUAGCGAUAAAUAUGGGAGAAGUACCUAUACUCGAAAAAAAAAUGAGCUAUAAAAAAGUUUUAUCAUUAUCAUAAAUGGAAUCUAUAUAUGCGGUGAAAUUCAUCACAGUAUUUCUACAGAAAAUGGAGAAAAAUUUGUUCAACAUCUCUUUCACAUUGCAGCUCAUUUCUGUUAUGAAUUUGUUUAAUAUGAAUACCAUGCUAAACAAAAAUUCGACUUUUAUUAAUUAUCUUUUAAAUAUAACAAACAAAUAAUGUUUUUUAACUGCACUAACUGACUUUCAAAGAUGUAAUUUAUUGUAAAAAGUAUAGUUAGAGUUCGGAGAAGAAGCUAAAAAUUUCUGUUUUCAGUAGUACCAAAACUGACAAAAUGAUCUGUGUCAUUACUGAGCAGGAUUCACUGCUCAGUCGGGCUUAUUUUAAGCUCGAUUGAUUAGUGAAUUCCUAUAGAAAUUAGAAUUUAUAAUUUAAUAGUAUCCUACUAAAUUGAAGAAGUACCUAAAAUUUGUUUAAAUUGAAAGAUUUCCAAGCUUUAAUACCUACAAAAAAUUAUGCUCAUUGGAAAUAAAUACAUUUUUUUUAA